GAGUCGGUGCGUUCAAGUACACCUUGACUGGGACCAUUGACCAUAGAGGGUGAUAGUCCCGUAAGACUGCUGACUUGCUGCGCUGGCUUUUCCCUAGAGUCGAGUUGUUUGGGAGUACAGCUCAAAGUGCGUGGUAAACUCCACGUAAGGCUAAAUAUGACCCCGAGACCGAUAGCGAACAAGUACCGUGAGGGAAAGUUGAAAAGCACUUUGAAGAGAGAGUUCAAGAGUACGUGAAACUGUAUAGUAGUAAACGGAGGGGUUCUCGAAGUCGGCGGUGACGGUUCAGGGUGACGGCGGGGCGGCCUCUGGCUCUGAGAUCUGCAAAGACUCGGGUUGGUUGUUGGCUCUGUCGGCGCCUGCACUCCGUUGCCGCCUCACGCAACGAACCGUUGUUGGCGAGCCGAGGGCUUGGGUGAAGUUGGGGUGCCUUUUUGGUGCCUCAGCCCCGGGUUCCUGGCCUUGUCGGCGACGGGUACUGGAGUGGUCUCGUAUAACGAGUGUCCUCGUUGGCACGGGCUGCAUCUCUGUUGCGAGUAGGUCGGCGACCCCUCCGACCCGUCUUGAAACACGGAC
rnacentral:rRNA from 1 species